AACCACUUAGUACAGUGGUAGUAUGUAGCAACAUCAGUUCCCUGGGAAUCCACUUGUAAUUACCCUGACCUCUGCUAGCGACCUGGGUUCGAUUCCCAGACUGGCCA